UACGUAGGAGACGAGCGUUGUCCGGAAUUACUGGGCGUAAAGCGCGUGUAGGCGGAUGAGCAAGUCUGCUGUGAAAGCUCCUGGCUUAACCGGGAGUGGUCGGUGGAAACUGCUCGUCUGGAGGACGGUAGAGGUAGGUAGAAUUCCCGGUGUAGUGGUGAAAUGCGUAGAGAUCGGGGAGGAAUACCUGUGGCGAAGGCGGCCUACUGGGCCGGACCUGACGCUGAGACGCGAAGGCGUGGGGGAGCGAACGGGG
rnacentral:rRNA from 1 species